rnacentral:rRNA from 1 species
UACAGAGGGGGCAAGCGUUGUUCGGAAUUAUUGGGCGUAAAGGGCUCGUAGGCGGUUUGUCGCGUCGGGAGUGAAAACACGGGGCUUAACCCCGUGCCUGCUUCCGAUACGGGCAGACUAGAGGUAUGCAGGGGAGAACGGAAUUCCUGGUGUAGCGGUGAAAUGCGCAGAUAUCAGGAGGAACACCGGUGGCGAAGGCGGUUCUCUGGGCAUUACCUGACGCUGAGGAGCGAAAGUGUGGGGAGCGAACAGG